AAAAAGGAAGACUUCGGCUGCUGCAGGACGGAUCGGAAGGGCAGUUCACCGUGUAGUCUCGAAGAGUGGAUACAAUAUGCGCGCCGGACUGGUAACCAAAUGCACCUGCCUCAGAUCCUAUACAAUUAAGUACAGAAGUGUAGCGUGAGCAUAUAAAUAAUAUGUACCUAGUAAUUAUCUAGUCUAACCUCGAAGAAGUAGUGACGAGGGGUCGACUCCGACAUUUACUAAGGUCAUCAAUAUGAUAAUAUGAACUUCUAAUUAAACAUGAUAUAUAGAGAUAACAAUAUAACACAAAAUAAGAAAUAACUGAACAAUCCUUCCACCAUAUUUAAGAACCAAAUUACUUCAUUCAUUUAAAACCAAUAACCUCUCAAUUCAAGUGAAUUAAUACCAAAUGUAAAAAGGGACUUCCAGUUCUAUUAUCACGCACAAAUUCUGCCGAGGACGUACAACCCGAUCCAACAUAAAUAUAAAUUUUGCACUGGCGAGGGUCGAACAGCACGAACCAUAGAUGCAUCUAUUAACCUACCGAGGUGAACGACCCUCUCACAUGAGAGUAGUGGAAAGAGUCACCUCGCUCGCGGAAUAUACUUGCGACGCAGUUAAAUACAAAUUUAUCAAUAAAUCAUAUCCUUUCUUGACUCUUUUCAAAAUAAAGAAAAUUCAACUUGAAGCUUUUGAAUUCUUAAAAAUCAUUAACUUAGUUCCAUUUGAUACAAUUAACAAAUAUAAUCAGAUAACAGUGUCGACAAAGCAUGGUAUAAACCUAAAACUACUCGAACAUAAACAGGAAUAGUAGCUAUGUACAGACUCUCAUCACUUCAUACGUACAUAGCCCCUACAAAUAACAACACAUAUUAAUUAAGUUCACCUAUGAGGUAGAUUCCCUUUUACAAGGUUAGGAAAGAGAUUUAGCUCGUCUCAAGGACAACUUUCCGGUCCAAGAUUAUGCUCAAACACUCAAAUCGGUGCCGAAUAAUCCAAAACUAUUCAAAUAGUGUAAAAACUAAUUAAUAUACGUUCAAAAGUUCAUAUUUUAGCUAUUUAAGUGAUUACUCAACCCUAAAUGUAAGGUUCCUAAAGUUUACUCCUGGGCCCACGUGCCCUGAUUCCAAAAUUUUUUGAAGAAAGUUGUUACCCAUAACCUUAGGAACAUAAAUAUAUGAUUUUCACUAAGUUCCAUAAUCAUUUCCGUGGUAAAAUCUCAUUUUUAUCAAAACCCUAGAUUUUCAUCUAAACCCAUGAUUUUCACUAAUUUGCAUGUUAUAAUCUACCCAUAAAUCAUGUAUUAAACUCACAUUAGGCAGAAAUUACUUACCUUCAAAAGCUAGGUGAAAACCCCCUCUCAAGAAGCUCCAAAAAUUGCCCAAAGAGUGAGAGAAAUGUGUAAAAAUGGCUUAAGUCCUGUAUUAAAUAAACCUCACUGCCUCCAGCGAUUUCGUACCUGCGAUGCCUUGGCCGAACUUGUGGUCCCGCACCUGCGGAAAAGCCAUCGCAGGUGCGCAUUUUCCCCUACUGGCCAAGCUCCGCAUCUGCAAGCUCAAGGGAUGACAUGUGCGCACAAAGCCUGCACCUGCGGUCGCGCAGGUGCGCCAAAGCUUCCGCACCAGUGGUGCCUGGGCUGCCCUCACUUGUUUGCUUCUGUGGCUCGUGGCUCGCACCUGCAGCUGGCCAAGCGCAGGUGCUAUUAUGACAGAAUUGGGGAGCUUCAGCUGCUGUCCUAAACUUCCAACUUGGUCUGAGCCUCGUCCGUUUGACACUCGGGGCCCCCGGAGCCCCGCCCGAACCUUACCCACAAGUUUGGAAUCAUAAAACGGACUCGUUCGAACUCUUGGAACGCCCGAAGCAACACUAAAACUAAGAAUCACACUCCAAAAUCAAUUGAAUUAAACUUAAGAACUUCAAGUUCUUCAACUUAAUUCCAAUGCGCCAAAAAGUACUUAAACUACUCGGAAUGACACCAAAUGUUGCGUGCAAGUAUUAAAUGACAUUACAGAACUAUUCCCAGUCUCAGAAUCCCAUUUGGACCUCGAUAUCACUAAACCCCGCUCCAAACCAAAUUUAAAGAACUUCUAGAAUCUUCAAGAACCAAUUUUCACUAUUAGGCGCCAAAAUGCUCUCGGGUCAUCCAAAACCUGAUCCGAACAUAUGCCCAAGUCUGAAAUCAUAAUAUGAAACUAUUGGAACCAUCAAAUCCUAAUUCCGAGGUCGUUUACUCAAAAUAUUGACCGAAGUCAAACUUGGCCUUUUAAGCCAACUUUAAGGAACCAAGUGUGCCGAUUUCAACCCGAACCCUUCCAAAUCCCAAACUAACCAUCCCCAUGAGUCGUAAAACAAUAAAAGCACUUACAGAAAGUCUUAUUUAGGAGAACGGGGUUCUAUAAAGCAAAACGAUCGGUCGGGUCGUUACAUUCUCCACAUCUUAAACAAACAUUCAUACUCGAAUGGGUUUAGAUUAAUACCUGAAGUGCUGAAUAAGUGUGGAUAUCUGCUCCGCAUUUCCUCCUCGGACUUCUAGGUCGCCUCCUCGACUGGUUAGCCCCUCCACUGAAUCUUUACCGCGGAAAUCCUCUUGGACGUCAACUGGCUAUCCUGUCUAGCAACAAUGGCAACUGGCUCCUCCUCAUAACCCAGGCUCUCAUCUAACUGAAUAGUGCUGAAGUCUAACACAUGUGACAUGUCGGCGUGGUACCUCUAGAGCAUAGACACGUGAAACACCGGAUGAACUCCUGAUAGGUUGGGAAGUAAAGAAAGCUCAUAAUCAACCUCCCCAACUCACCUCAACACCUCAAAUGGGCCUAUAAACUUUGGGCUCAGCUUUCCCUUCUUCCCGAAUCUCAUAAUACCCUUCAUCGACAAGAUUUUGAAGAGAACCUUCUCGCCUACUAUAAAUGAUACAUCACGUGCCUUCUGAUCCGCAUAACUCUUCUGUCUGGACUAUGUUGUACGAAGUCUCUCCUGAAUCAACUUUACCUUUUCCAAGGCAUCCGUUACCAAAUCAGUAUCAUAUAACCUAGCCUCGCUGGGCUCAAACCACCCGAUGGGAGAACGACAUCGCCGACCAUAUAAAGCUUCGAAUGGAGCCAUCCCAAUGCUGGACUAAUAACUGUUGUUGUAAGCAAACUCGGCCAAAGGUAAGAAUCGAUCCCACUACCCUCCAAAGUCAAUCACACAUGCUCUGAGUAUGUCCUUUAGGAUCUGAACUGUCCACUCCGACUGCCCGUCUGUCUGUAGAUGAAAUGUUGUACUGAGCUCUACACGGGUUCCCAACUCACUCUGUACGGCUCUUCAAAAAUGUGAAGUAAACUGAGGGCCUCUAUCUGAUAUGAUAGAGACGGGCACACCAUGCAGCCGAACUAUCUACUGAAUAUAAAUUUGGGCCAACCUCUCUGAAGUAUACAUAGUCACAACCGGAAUGAAGUGUGCUGACUUGGUCAACAUGUCGAUAAUGACCCAAACUGCAUCAAACUUCCGCAAGGUCUGCGGCAAACCAACUAUGAAGUCCAUAGUAAUGCAUUCCUACUUCCACUCCGGUAUAGUCAUCUGCUGGAGUAGGUCACCUGGCUUCUGGUGCUCAUACUUAACUUGCUGGCAAUUUAGGCACCUAGACACAUACUCAACUAUAUCCUUCUUCUUCCGCUGCCACCAAUAACGCUUCCUCUGGUCACGAUACAUCUUCGUAGCACCUGGAUGGAUGGAAUACCAUGAACUGUGUGCCUCCUCUAGAAUCCUCUCUCUCAAGCCAUUGACAGUAGGAACACAUAAACGACCCUUGAGUCAUAGAAUGCCAUCCUCACCGAUAGAAACCUCCUUGGCACCACCCUGUAGUAUCGUCUUUUUGAGAACCAUCAAAUGCAGAUCAUCAAACUGUCGAGCCUUGAUCUGCUCCAAUAGUGAAGACUGAGCAAAAACACAUACAAGGACUCGGUUGGACUCUGAAAUAUCCAACCUCACAAGUCUGUUAGCUAAGGACUGAAUGUCCAAAGCUAGUGGCCUCUCCUCUACUGAAAUGAAUGCCAAGCUACCCAUACUCUCUGCCUUUAUGCUCAAGGCAUCCGCGACUACAUUUGCCUUGCCCAGAUGAUAAAGAAUGUUGAUAUCAUAAUUCUUUAGUAACUCAAGCCAUUUGUUGCCUCAAAUAGAGAUCUCUUUGCUUGAACAAAUGCUGCAAGCUGCGAUGAUCAGUGUAAACCUCACAUUACACCCCAUAAAGAUAAUGCCUCCAGAUCUUAAGAGCAUGAACAAUCGCGGCUAGCUCUAGAUUGUGCACAGGGUAUUCCUUCUCAUGAAUCUUCAGUUGACAUGAAGCAUAAGCAAUAACUCGCCCCUUCUGCAUUAUUACACAACCCAAACCAACGCGUGAAACAUCACAAUAAACUGUAUACAUCCCCGAACCAGAAGGCAACACUAGAACCAGUGUUGUAGUCAAAGCUGUCUUGAGCUUCUGAAAGCUCACCUCACAAUAACCGGACCAACAGAACGAGGCACCCUUCUGGGUCAAUCUAGUCAAAGGUUCUACAAUAGAUGAAAAUCUCUCCACAAAUCGGCAAUAAUAACCUGCUAAUCCCAAGAAACUUCUAAUCUCAGUCGCCGAAGUGGAACGAGGCCAACUCUGAACUGCCUCAAUCUUCUUGGGAUCCACCUUAAUACCCUUGCCUGAUACAAUAUGCCCAAAGAAUGCCACAGAAUCUAACUAAAGCUCACACUUGGAGAACUUAGCAUAUAGCUUUUGUUCUUGUAAUGUCCGAAGCACCACUCUCCAUUGCUGCUCGUGCUACCCCAGGCUAUGUGAGUAGAUCAAAAUGUCGUCAAUGAAGACAAUGAAAAACAAAUCAAUAUAAGGCCUAAACACCAUGUUCAUCAAAUCUAUAAAUGCAUAUGGGGAAUUAGCCAAGCCGAAGGACAUCACCAAAAACCCAUAAUGGCCAUAUUUGGUAUGGAAAGUAGUCUUCGAAACAUUUGAGUCCCGAAUAUUCAAUUAAUGAUACCCUGAUCUCAAGUCUAUCUUAUAGAACACCCUAGCACCCUGCAACUAGUCAAACAAAUCAUCGAUACGCUGGAAUAAGUACUUGUUCUUGAUGGUAACUUUGUUCAACUAGCGGUAAUCAAUGCACAUCCGCAUAGUCCCAUCUUUCUUCUUUACAAAUAACACUGGUGCACUCCAAGGUGAUACACUUGGUCUGAAAACCCCUUUGCUAAUAACUCCUCAAGCUGCUCCUUUAACUCCUUCAACUCUUUCGGACCCAUAAGGUACGGUGGGAUAGAUAUAGGCUGGGUAUCUUGGGAUAAGUCAAUACAAAAAACAAAGACGGGAUCUAGUUGCAUGCUUGGAAAGUCAAAAGGAAACACAUCGGCAAAUUCCUGGACUACUGGCACUGAAUCAAUCGUCGGAGGCUCUGCGAUAGUAUCCCAAACAUAAGUUAGAUAAGCAAAAUAACCCUUCUCGAUCAUAUAUCAAGCCUUCAAAAAAGAGAUGACCCGACUAGAUGUACUAACAUAUGAACCCUUUCACUCCAAUCUCAGCAACUCUGACAUCGCUAAAGUAACAGUCUUGGCAUGACAAUCAAGGAUGGUGUGAUAUGGGGAUAACCAGUCCAUUCCUAGGAUGACCUCAAAGUCGGUCAUAUCAAGAAACAGAAGGUCCGCACUACUCUUGUAACCACAGAAUAUGAUCACACAGGACCAAUAGAUCCGAUCCACCACCACAAAAUCGCCCAUAGGAGUCGAUACAUAAACAGGAGUACCCAAGGACUCACGAGGAAUAUCCAGGAAAUGAGAAAACAGAGAUAAUACAUAUGAAUGGGUCGACCCUAGAUCAAAUAAUAUCGAAGUAUCUCUAUCACAGACAGAAAUAAUACAUGUGAUCACGGCAUCUAAGGCCACUAUAUCUGGUCUAGAUGGAAAAGCAUAGAAUCUAGCUGGAGCGCCGGCUGGCUGGCCUCCUCCUGACUGAACAGUAGUUGGCUGACCUCCCCCUGCCUGUCCUCUACCUCUAAGAUGGCUUCUACCCUCCUGCCCUAUACCUUUAGGCGGUCGGAUGACUGGUGCUAUAAUCAUGGGCUGAUGACCCUGUUGUACUGCCUUGCAACAAAGCCUGGGACAAAAUCUCUUCAUGUGACCCGAAUCCCCACACUCUUAACAACCUCUUGGUUCUAUAGACUGCUACCCCAAAGUCUGACCCUGAUGGCUUGAAUACCUACUGGAAGAACCCUGGAUGGCUGGUGGGUGGUAUGAACUCUCUAGUAUGGCACUAAAAUAGGCGCUGGAAGAACCCUGAAUAGUUGGUGGGCGGUAAGAACUCUCUGGCAUAGCACUAAAAUAGGGUUGCACUGGAGCACCCUGAGGAGGUGGUGGUGAUACUGGAUAUGUGGGCCUGCUAGUCUGACCUCUCCCAAACCGACCUAUGCCCCCAGCCAGGGCACCUCUAAACUCUCCAAAGAAACGGGUCCUCUUUUCUUGCUACAUCUGCUCUCUACCCCUCUGGAGGUAGCCCUCAAUCCUCUGAGCAAUCUCCAUUACUAGCUGAUAAGAAGUCCCAAUCUCAACCUCCCGGGCCAUUUUAGCCUUAAUACCAGAGUGCAACCCCGCAACAAACCACUGCACUCUCUCUGUGUCAGUAGGAAGUAUCAUAAGUGCAUGGAAAGACAACUCAGAAAAUGUUGCCUCAUAAUCGGUCACUGACAUCUGACCCUGCUUGAGAUGCUCAAACUAACACCGCAACUCUUCCCUCUAGGAGGGUGGAAUAUUCUUAUCCAAGAAAAGCUGCGUAAACUGGUCCCAAGUCAUGGGAGGAGAACCCACUAGCCUACCGAGAAGAUAAGACUGCCACCAUCUAGGGGCCCUGCCCUCUAACUAGAAAGUAGUGAAAUCCACCUCGUGAGACUCUAAUAUCCUUAUGUUGUGCAGUCUGUCCCUGCACCUAUCAAUGAAGUCCUAGGGAUCCUCAUGUCGCUCACCUCCAAAGUUAGGAGGAUGUAGUGAUGUCGCCCAAAUUCAGGGAUUGUGAAGGGGUCGAUGCAAUUAUAAUUACCUAACAUGAGUCGAGGUCAAUUCCAUAGAGAGCUUAUAUUGGAUUAGGUAUAAAUCAAGACUAAGUGUAUGAUGUGCCCAAAAUGCACUUUCACAUGUUUGGUUGUUUCUUUCUACUUCUAAUUUUUAUGCUAGUGUUUGUAAAUGAAAAGCUAAUGAACGAUAUUUUUGGUGUUGUUAUUUUUCAAGAUUAUAAAAGAUCUAGGGUCAUGACUUCCACCUAGGUUGUUACCUAACAGAUUGUGGGCUUUUGGGUAAGUUUGUUUGGUCGGGGUGUAAUAUAGCAAUCACACGCAAUUACCCACUCGAUACCUCUCGGUAGUUAGAGUGGUUUUGCCUAAUUUGGCUUUCUCAAGUCCAAAUGGGUAAUUCAUAAAACAAGUGAUAGAUACUCAAGUGGGGUCUUACUAUCUCUAGAUUCAAUACUUUAAUUGUGUCACGACCCAAACUGAUGGGCCGCAACGAGCACUCGGUACCUUACUCAACCAAGUACCAACGUAACGUAUCUUUCUUAUUACAUCAUCAUAUACACAUAAAAUAUGGGCCUAAUAGGCCAACAUGAUCCUUUAUAAACUCAAAACAUAGGCCGACAAGGCCGUACAAUCUUUCACAUACACUACAUAUAUCUACAAACCUCUAAGAAUACACGUCUAAAUCAUAGAGUCCCGCCAUACCAAACAAUACACGUCUAAAUCAUACUAACCAAACAAGCAACUCCGAAGCAAAUGGAGCGCACCAACAUCUUCCGCUAAGCUGAUAGCCUACUUGGAUGGCGCUUAUCCUAUAUAUCGGGACCUGCGAGCAUGAAACGCAGCUUCCCCAGGCAAAAGGGACGUCAGUACAAAAAAUGUACCGAGUAUGUAAGGCACAUAAAUAAAUACAUAAAAGACAUGGAAGAAAUAUAUAGUACAUGUCUCAACCUCUAAGUCUGAAUAACUUUGUAAAUCAUAAAUUACUUUUAGCGUCAUGCAUAUGCGUAUGAAUGUCAUGACAUGCAUAGGUACAUGUUUCAUAAUAUCAUCAGCCUCUGAGGGCAUCCCAUCAUGUCAUAUCGGCCACUAUGGGCAAAAUCAUUAUCGUAUACCAGCUGAUCAGGUGGUGGUGUAUAUCUAACGCAUAACCUUUCCCAUAUACAUAUAUAUAUAUAUAUAUAUAUACGCAUAUAUAAUGCCGUCUGGUCAUGGGUCAAUGCACAUGAAUGCAAUGCGUGAAAAGUACGUUAAUAAAAUCUUUCGGAAUUUCAUAAGACCAUUUUGUCUUUGAGCAAUAUCAUAAAGUAAACUUUUUUUUUCAACUUUCAUAUUUUUUUGACACCCAUGAACAUAUGAUAAAAUAUUAUGACACAUGGAAAUUCAAGAACAUAGAUAUCUCUAAUACUUCUAUGAGUAGAAUCAUUUAUGGAAUUUGUGCAUUUGCACAUUUCAUUCGUAUCGUAUGGAUCAUGCCAAAAGAAAGAAGGGAUAGCCUUAACAUAACUGGAGUAGGAACAACUCCGUAUAAUUAUCCCGUUGAGAACCUUCGUGUUUGAGCGAAAUUUGCCCUUGCUUGUAAAAAUUCACGGACGAUUAUUGCUUCAUGGAAUGAAUCACGUUUUUUUUCUUUGUUUGGAAGGGAUAUGGUUUCUGCUUUUGAUUUGAAUCAAGACUUUGCUUAUGAAUUUUAAGGUUGGACAAAGAUUCUGUACCUAAUAUCUUUUGAUUUGAAAACCAAAAUACAGAAUAUGGUUUCUCAUAUCCUUGGUUUGCUAAGACUUUAAAGCUUAGUCAUUCCCAUCAUUAAGCCAUUUGGCAAAAGUGACUAUUAGUCACUUCCAAUUUCGUGGCUUCUUGCCACGUGGGGUGGGGAUGAGAUGUAAAUUUUUAUCCACUUAUUAGCUGACUGGGUAAUGUCCUGUUACCCGGUAAUUAAUCAAUUACCCGUAUAAUUUAAAUAUUAUCUCAACUUAAUUAAAUACUACUCUCUUUUAACAUACCUUGUACACCUUACUAUCAUGUCCAUGUAGUACCUUGUAUGGCACUAGUCCAUAAAUACCAGGUAUUUUAGCUUGGGCCGUAUUUUAUCCCAAAAUGCCAAACUUUGACAAAAUUCAUUUUCUUAGACUUGCUCCCCUUUUCACCUUUAUGAAUUNNNNNNNNNNNNNNNNNNNNNNNNNNNNNNNNNNNNNNNNNNNNNNNNNNNNNNNNNNNNNNNNNNNNNNNNNNNNNNNNNNNNNNNNNNNNNNNNNNNNNNNNNNNNNNNNNNNNNNNNNNNNNNNNNNNNNNNNNNNNNNNNNNNNNNNNNNNNNNNNNNNNNNNNNNNNNNNNNNNNNNNNNNNNNNNNNNNNNNNNNNNNNNNNNNNNNNNNNNNNNNNNNNNNNNNNNNNNNNNNNNNNNNNNNNNNNNNNNNNNNNNNNNNNNNNNNNNNNNNNNNNNNNNNNNNNNNNNNNNNNNNNNNNNNNNNNNNNNNNNNNNNNNNNNNNNNNNNNNNNNNNNNNNNNNNNNNNNNNNNNNNNNNNNNNNNNNNNNNNNNNNNNNNNNNNNNNNNNNNNNNNNNNNNNNNNNNNNNNNNNNNNNNNNNNNNNNNNNNNNNNNNNNNNNNNNNNNNNNNNNNNNNNNNNNNNNNNNNNNNNNNNNNNNNNNNNNNNNNNNNNNNNNNNNNNNNNNNNNNNNNNNNNNNNNNNNNNNNNNNNNNNNNNNNNNNNNNNNNNNNNNNNNNNNNNNNNNNNNNNNNNNNNNNNNNNNNNNNNNNNNNNNNNNNNNNNNNNNNNNNNNNNNNNNNNNNNNNNNNNNNNNNNNNNNNNNNNNNNNNNNNNNNNNNNNNNNCGUCCGUAACUUAUUACUACGAAGCGUAACAUCACCGUAUUGUAAUACUACAGGGUGCAACACUGUUGUAACUUAUUACUGCGAUGCGUAAUAUCACUGUAAUGUAAUACUGUCGGGUACAAUACUGUCGUAACUUAAUACUGCAUGAUGUAGCAUCAAUCGUAAUAUAUUACUACUGAGGGUAACACCAUCGUAACAUAUUACUACAGAGCAUAACAUCGUCGUAAUUUAAUACUACAGGACGUAAUAUUGACGUAAUAUUGCGGGGCGUAACAUCAUUCCCCCUUUGGAACAUUCGUCCUCAAAUGUUGACUGAUGCUCUUAUCAUUUUCGUAACUUAUAGCUCUCGUGAAUACCUUAAUACUCUUCUUGCCAUUUAAGUAGUUGCUCUGUUAAUAAAUCCAAAGUCUAGGGUAUUCCCCCCUUUAGUCUUUUUGCUCGUAUCAUGACCUGUGGUCGAAAUCUUCCUAAUCUUGCAAUUGUUGUUACCUCCUGUCAUGCAGCCUGUAUGACCCUAGCUUUGUAAGUGCACUUAUGCGAUUCAUCUUUCCUUUUUCCUUUUAUCUUUUAGUCAAUCUCUAGGCCUUACUUUGUAUAUACAAGGCUUAAUAGGAUUCCUUUUUGGGCCUCUAUAGGUAUACUGAAUUCCUUUGCUCGAUAGUUUGUAGAACUUGUGAAUAUGGCCAUAUCAUAUUUCAUAGAUCUGAUUAUCCAUUCAUAUGACUUUACUGUAUUUACAUAGUUUAUACUAUACCAUAAUUUUUAGUUCAAUCUACCUCUACUCAGGUAUGCUUACCAAGCUCCCAGUUACUUUUGUUGUCUAUCCUUUAGGUAUAAAUCUUAGUCCUUCAAUGCUCCUUCAUUACCGUUCGUCUUAAGAAUGGCGGUUUAAUCUCAUCUCAUACUUUGUGACUUUUGUCCAUCCAUUAUUGAUUCACCUAAAUAUUAACCUACAAUAUACCACUGAUAACUUGAAACUUCUUAUGUCAUACCUUGCCACUAAGGCUUACGUUCCAUCGAGGAAUAUUUGAAGUGAUUUUCCUGAUCCAUUUAGGGGUAAUACUAUACUUCAAUGAUAGUAUUUAAUAGCAUCCCAAUGUGAUUCACUUAUGUGGGUAUUUUAAUCUUGUACAAUCCAUGAAAUCCUCUUCAAAUCAUUACUCACUCGAAGACCUAAACGUCAUCCUUUAUCCAUUACAAUUACACUGUCAUUGUACUAUCAGGGCAGCAUUCUAUCUUUUUUGAAUGCUACUAGUCUUAGACUCAUUUGAGUUCAUUCAGGCUAUACUGAGCUUUCUAUAACUUAGAGAAACCAUCAGCUCUUCUUGUUUUCAUGGGCUUAAUCUCGAGGACUUAUCCAUUCUCGUCAUCUUCUCACUCGCCUUUUCUUAUCCUUGCUCAUGUCUUCCUAAAACCUUGUUGCUCUACCAUACUUUAGCUUGCAACCUAUACAUAUCCAUUUAUACUACUUGCAACCUUUCUUCAACUUGUUUGCACCAUAGAUUUCCUUGUGUUAUUUCGAAACAUCAAGCGAGACAUCACAUCGUCUCUAACUCUUCUAUACUCUUUUAACUACACCUCUCGAUACGUAGAAACCAUAGGCUGGAAGAUAUGCCACUAACGAUGCCGUUAUCAUUCCUGGAUAUUAAAUCCUCGUGCUUAUAACCUUCUAUCCGAAGUAUAGACUAUUCACGAUCUUCUACCUUUGAAUAUCUCGCACGUUGUUCACUUUUACCUUACUUACCUUAAAAUCUCGCAUCGUAUCUUCUAUCUCUUUCCUGACCUCCCUUCCACCUCGGUGUAAUUCACGUCUAUAACUUGAAGAUCUAUUAUAAUACUCACACCUCUGGUACAUACACAAUCCGGUGGGAACUUCGUACUGACUUCAUAUGAGGCUGGUACUUCUUCUAACUGGUUUCCUUGUAGAGCCAUUAUAGAUUAUGGUUGUUGUGUUAUUUCUCUUGAACUUCUGAUAUUAAGAGUGAUUCUAUCAUGUUCUCAAGAACAACUUCUAUAAUUUUCUAAGUCCAAUAAUCAGACUCCUGAUUUACUUAGGUGACGUAAUUUUUAGUUUCCUCUUCCUUCUGAUCAACCUUUACGUAGGCUUAAGCUAUCUUCCGAUCUGUGGCUCAUGGUAUCAGUUAUUACCUUAGCCUUUCAUGGGCGUUAUGGAAUAUCCAUGAUACAAUCUUCUAACAAUUCAAUCCUUUGUCUAUGCCCCGGGCUCAAUUCUUUCUUUUAACUUAUACCAGAGUCUUCUAUGGCUGUAUGAUUGUCAACAAAUAUGCUGCCUGGAUAAUGAUCCAAAACCUUGAGUUUAUCCAUAAUGUACUAACUUUGGAUCAUUGAUCAAAUAAUUCUUUUGUUCCCUUUUAGUUUUCUUUCAACGUAAGCUAUUACUUUUCCUGGUCUUUUUGCCCCCUCGUUGCAUCCAUACUUAGCUUAUCUUAGUGCCCACACUUGCCAGAGUUUUCAUACAACUCAUAUGAUCUCGAAUAUUACUUUUAAUUCUUACUUCCCAUUCAUUAGCUACGGUAGGUGCCACUUUCCUUUAGAAUGCUUACAAUGUUGUUGUGAGAUAGUUGUUACACGACCAUUUCCUCUUUAGGUCGUUGUGCUUAGGUUGAAGCCUUCUUUCUUAUCUCCUCAGCUAGUCUUUCGUUGUAGUACUUAGGGAGAACCCUUGACUCUCGUAAAGUUGUAAGCUUAUUACGGACCUUUUUGAUGUCCUUACUUUCCUAUAAUCAUCUGUAGUUGCUUACUUCCAUGCCCUUGUGCUUGUAUGGUUGCUUCUGAACUGAUCUUUUGACUGUCUUCCCAGUGGUACUUUCUUUUAUCCUCGUAACACUCAUAUGGUACCUUUAACUACCCUGACUAUUGUUUGAAUAUAUCUCAAGUAUUAUAAUGAUAUUCUCUGAGGCUUAAUUCUCUAUGUUGGGUUCUACUAUGUUUAUUUUACACGAUCUGAUGACUCAUCUGUAACCUCCUAUUUAGCCAUAACUGGGAUCUUCCUAACCAAUUACUAACUACUCCUUGGCCCAUUCUCAUAUCAAUAUUCCUCGUAAUCUUUCUUGGGUUAUUUACUUUGUCUUAACUUAUAUCUCGCACUGGCUCCUUAUUUAUUAAUAACAGCUCGGGCAGGAACCUUUACUUCCUCUCCUUGACAUCGUACUUGCACAAUAUUCUUGAAUCAUAGCGUAUCUGUAAGAUUUGGAUAAGUUCCAUCUCAUUCCUCUUUCAUUUAUCGCAUUCUUCCUUUGCUAUUCCAUAGUCACUAGAACUACUUAAUUUUGACUUAAUGCCACAUCACUCCAUAUUCCCCCCCCCCCCAUUUAGGGGUGUACUAAAAGUUGAAGCCAUGAGGAUCUACCUAUCUCAACAUCAAUGAUCCUUACUCGCCUUGCAGCAAUCCUUCUGUACCAAGGAUGACAAAUUCCCCUACUCGUAAGGGUGACACUUAGCGUAACUGGCACAUACAGUCUCUUAAGCUUAACUUUGCUCAUAUUGCUUGCUCUAAGGAAACGUCUCCCUGAAUGACCAUUCUCUGAAUUCAUCAUGAAUUUUCUUUUGUGGUCCAUUCUAUUACCGUCGGAACCAAAUCUGAAAUUCCCAUGAUGUCGAGUACUUUCCAAUCAUUCAGUCCCUAAUUCAUAUUUAGUUUAUCUUGUUUACCAGCCUAUACUGAUUUCUAUUACUCUGGGGAUUAACUCUCCCCUCUGGUAGUCGCGUUGGAGUCACAAACUUAAUUCUUGAAAUGAGGAUAUAACCUUAUGGUCUGUACUCUUUUGUUGUCUUAAGGCCCAUCACCUUUCGUCUCUUUCUUCAUUUGACUAUAGGUUCUGUAACACUCUACCGUUUUCAUCCAUGUAUCAUACCUCAUUCAUAAUGCUUCCUUAUCUCUCUUCUCAUUACUCUGCUAAUAUUUCUGCAUAUUCCUUUUCUUGUAAAAACUUCAAUACGACAAUCUUUCGCUUUUAGCUUUCCUUUGCUCCACCCAGUGGCUCUUCAAGUUGCUUAACGUUCUCGCUUUACUAGGGACGCGAGCUACACUAAGGUAAUAUUUAUCCCUUCAAGGCUUAUAGUGCAUGUCUUUGUCGUACUCAUAUCUGGCUGCACUAUUUUAGAGUGCACCAUCUAGGUGUCUCAUAAAGAGAUCUAUUAGCGCAUUUACAAUAUCCUUCGGGAAUAUCAACUGACGCAAUCAAUUCAUCCAUCAUAUCUUCUUAUACUACUUUUGUUAACCACCAUAAGGCAUAUCUGAAAGGGAUGAGACCAAUUGUAUAUACCUCUGUUAUUAUUGAAUAUAACUCAAAAAGCUUAUGUUCUUCUGCCUCAAUUAUAAACGUUGUUAACCUUCAUUAACUGGGUACCUCGUACCCUUUUUCACCUUGCUCCUUUUACUUGCUGAAACAUGUACUUAUCUUUUUAAUCUCUCCAUGUCCUUCACCAUAAAGAUGGAUAGGCAUUCUUGCCUUAAGACUUCUUAUCAGGAAGCUUACAUCUUUCAGUAUACCCAUGAUCUGCUAAAGACCUCAUAUUUACUUAUUGUAGGCAUCAUACAAAAAUCCAAUUCCUCUUACUCAGCUCUUCCACAACUAUCUCUCUUUCCAACCUUCUUUCCGAAUGUAGGCAUCGUCUUAUUACGAAUAAAAUAGAAUUUCGGAACUUGAAUUUCUUAUAAGUGAGCUCUACCACACAAUCUAGAGUAAGAAGAAAGAGUGACAAUCCUAAAUGCUCUGUAGCCUCCUACUUAUAAGUGUGGUGCACGACAUACCCAUAAACAAGAUUCUACUAGACACGGCUUGUAGACUCCCUAAAACAGAACUGCUCUGAUACCACUUUUGUCACGACCCAAACCGAUGGGCCGCAAUGGGCACCCGGUACCUUACUCAACCGAGUACCAACUUAACGUAUCUUUCUUAUUACAUCAUCAUAUACACAUAAAAUACGGGCCUAAUAGGCCAACAUGAUCCUUUAUAAACUCAAAACAUAGGCCGUACAAUCUUUCACGUACACUACAUAUGUCUACAAACCUCUAAGAAUACACGUCUAAAUCAUAGAGUUCCGCCAUACCAAACAAUACACGUCUAAAUCAUACUAACCAAACAAGCAACUCCGAAGCAAAUGGAGUGCACCAACAUCUUCUGCUAAGCUAAUAGCCUACUUGGAGGGCUCUCGACCUGUCUAUCGGGACCUACAGGCAUGAAACAUAGCGUUCCCAAGCAAAAGGGACGUCAGUACGAAAAAUGUACCGAGUAUGUAAGGCACAUAAAUAAAUACAUAAGAAACAUGGAAGAAAUAUAGAGUACAUGACUCAACUUGUAAGUCUGAAUAACUUUAUAAAUCAUAAAUUACUUUUAGCAUCAUGCAUAUGCGUAUGAAUGUUAUGUCGUGCAUAGGUACAUGUUUCAUAACAUCAUCAGCCUCUGAGCGCAUCCCAUCAUAUCAUAUCAGCCACUGUGGGCAAAAUCAUCAUCGUAUACCAGCUGAUCAGGUGGUGGUACGUGUAUAACGCCAUAACCUUUCCCAUAUCCCAUAUACAUAUAUAUACAUACAUAUAUACGCGUAUAUAACACCGUCUGGUCAUGGGUUAAUGCACAUGAAUGCAAUGCGUGAAAAGUACGUUAAUAAAAUCUUUCGGAAUUUCAUAAGACUAUUUUGUCUUUGAGCAAUAUCAUAAAGUAAACAUUUUUUUCAACUUUCAUAUUUUUCUAAGACCCAUGAACAGAUGAUAAUAUAUUACGACACAUGGAAAUUCAAGAACAUAGAUAUUUCUAAUACUUCUAUGAGUAGAAUCAUUUAUGGAAUUUGUGUAUUUGCACGUUUUGUUCGCAUUGUAUGGAUCAUGCCAAAAGAAAGAAGGGAUAGCCUUAACAUACCUGGAGUAGGAACAACUCCGUAUAAUUAGCCCGUUGGGAACCUUCGUGGUUGAGCGAAUUUUGCCCUUGCUUGUAAAAAUUCACGGACGAUUAUUGCGUCAUGGAAUGAAUCAUUUUUUUUCUUUGUUUGGAAGGGGUAUGGUUUCUGCUUUUGAUUUGAAUCAAGACUUUGCUUAUGAAUUUUAAGGUUGGACAAAGAUUCUGUACCUAAUAUCUUUUGGUUUUAAAACCAAAAUACAGAAUAUGGUUUCUCAUAUCCUUGGUUUUCUAAGACUUUAAAGCUUAGUCAUUCCCAUCAUUUAGCCAUUUGGAAAAAAUGACUAUUAGUCACUUCCAAUUUCGUGGCUUCUUGACAUGUAGGGUGGGGGUGGGAUGUAAAUUUUUAUCCACUUAUUAGCUAACUGGGUAAUGUUCUGUUACCCGGUAAUUAAUCAAUUAUCCGUAUAAUUCAAAAAUUAUCUCAACUUAAUUAAAUACUAUUCUCUUUUAACAUACUUUGUACACCUUACUAUCAUGGCCAUGUAGUACCUUGUAUGGCACUAGUCCAUAAAUACCGGAUAUUUUAGCUUGGGCCGUAUUUUAUCCCAAAAUGCCAAACUUUGACAAAAUUCGUUUUCUUAGACUUGCUCCCCCUUUCACCUUUAUGAAUUUACUAAUCACUUGUGAAAUAGCAUAAUCCUUAUAAUCCCCAAAUAAUCUUUUCCUUGGACUGAUAUCAAUUACCUUACGACAAAUUUCAUGUAAAAUACUACAGGAUGCAACAUCGUCGUAACUUAUUACUGCGAAGUAUAACAUCACCGCAAUGUAAUACUACAGGGUGCAACACUAUCCUAACUUAUUACUGCGAUGCAUAAUAUCACCGUAAAUGUAAUAUUGUCUGGUACAAUACAAUCAUAAUUUAAUACUGCAUGACGUAACAUCAAUCGUAAUAUAUUACUGCAGAGGGUAACACCAUCGUAACAUAUUACUGCAGAGCAUAAUAUCAUCGUAAUAUAAUAUUGCAGGACGUAAUAUUGUGGGGCGUAACAAAUUAGGACUAUCAAUUUCUUGAGUUCACCCUAAUUCCUUGUUAGCCAAGUUUUCCAAGACUCAAUCUCUCUUUCUUAAGUAGAGACUAAGUCAUUUAGGCAUGAAUCAAUGUUUGCAACCAUUAAUUCUUAAAUUCAAGCAAGAACUAGGCUAAAUAUCACUCACCCAAUCACAAACAAGUCUUAAAUCAAACACUCAUCAGGUACCCAUACUAGGGUUGGGUCACAACCCUGGCUAGAAAUUUAGCUACUCAUAGAGAAAAUUAAAGAAACUACAGAAGAAAAUAAGAUUAAACUCAUAAUAGAAGAUAAAGGGAAGAAAAUCCAAUGUUAAAAUGAUAAACUAUUACAAAGUUACCCAAAGCAGUAAAGGCAAAAUGACUAUCUAUUUUCUGGUGUUCAAACUUGACCUAAGUUUUACAAAAAAGACAAUUUAUACACAGCUGACACUAGUGAACAAAAUUGGCCAUACGGAGGUUCUGCGGCCGCACAAUUCUGUGCACGGUCCACACUUUGAAGUUGGCUUGACAGGAUGGACUUCUGCGGCCGUACAAUUCUGGGUUUUGGCCGCACUUCUUCUCUGUGGACCGCACAUUUCUGGGUGUAGCCGCACUCUUGAACCUGAGCUUGACCUGAGAGACUUCUGCGGACUGCACAUUUUUGAGUGCGGCCACACUUUUGAAUUCUGUGGCCACACAAUAAUAGUGUGAUUCGUACUUCUCCAUGGUCCCAGAAUCACAUCUCUCUAAACCUCAUCUUCUACGACUGCACAAUAAUUGUGCGGUCCGCACUUUGCAAAGGAAAUCUGUCAGAAGUUUCCUUAUGGUCUGCGGCCGCACUCAAUAUUGUGUGGUCCGCAUUUUGCUCUUUUUGCUUUGUUUUAGUUCUUGUCCAAACUUUCUCCUUCUUGAGUUAAUUUUCAUCUCUUUGACUCAUAUUCCAACACUCCUGCAAGUAAGCACAUUUUAUUAGUUUUCAAGGAUACAUUUAAGCAAUUUUGAGCUAAAACGAAAGUAAAAGAGUGCAAAUAAGUAGUCAAAAUCUCUACUUAUCAUGUAGCCUAGUACAUCUGUCCAAAAGCUUCUACGGCUUGCCGGCCACAGCUGGUCUAGGCUCUGGUACCACCCGCCUACGGGUAGUGUAUUAGGGGUCUAUUAUACUGUAGUUGCAUGCCCAGGAGCCUGAGCAGUAGGGGUCUAUGCUCCCCCUCCCGCCUAAAAUGUGGAUGGGUCUACUGGAAAUAAACCAGCCUGGGUCAUAGAAUCCAUGAACCGCUGCAUACGACCCAUGACCUCCUGAAAGCCCGGUGCUGACAUGAAAUCUACCGGGGCUGGCUCUGCUGCAGGCACCUCGCCCUGCUCCUUAAUAAUGGUAUCCUCUACUGGAUCCGCUGGUGGUGCAACUGGGGAAACUCUGGGACAUCUUCAUCCCUUACCUCGGGCUGGUGCCCUCCCCCGGCCUCUGCCUCGGCCUCUAGUAACGAGGGAAGCAGCUCCUCCCAGGUCUGGAAUGUCUACUGCACGCGUUCUCACCAUCUGUGAGAGAAUACGAGAAAGAACUUUGUAUAUCAUCACUGCACGAUAGAAGAUGAAUAAAGAGUAGUUUCCUAACACCCUAUAACCUCUCAAUAAUAAGUACAUAUGUCCCGCACUGAUUUGCAAGACUCUAUUAGGUCUACAUGUAACUUGUGAGACCUACAUGAACCUAGUGCUCUGAUACCAUGUUAUGACAACCAAAUUCUAUUACCAGCCGUGAUAGCGCCCAACACCGUAGUUAGGCAAGCCAGCACUAAUAAAUCUAGUGGUUUCUCCAUUUAAAUAAGAUUAUUUAGUGAAUAAAAUUUUCCUCAUUGUUAGAAGAUUUAGAAAUUUGCAAAUAAAAAUAAUUAAAUGAAAGAAAAUGCGUGAUGAGCAUUCUAGUAGAAUAUACAAAAGAAUACUAGUCUAUUGUCUGAAAUGUAACAGACAGAAAAAUAUAACAAAAGGAAGACUUCAGCUGCUGCAGGACGGCUCGGAAAGGUAGCUCACCGUGUAGUUUCGAAACAUGGAUCAAAUGUGCGCGUCAGACUGGUGACCAGAUACACCUGCCUCAGAUCCUGUACAAUUAAGUACAGAAGUGUAACGUGAGUACAUAAAUAAUAUGUACACAAUAAGUAUCUAGUUUAACCUUAAAGAAGUAGUGAUGAGGGGUCGACUCCGACACUUACUAAGUCCAUCAAUAUGAUAAUAUUAACUUCUAAUUAAAUAUGAUAUAUAGAGAUAACAAUAUAACACAUAAUAAGAAAUAACUUAACAAUCCUUUUACCAUAUUUAAGAACCACAUCACUUCCUUCAUUUAAAACCACUAACCUCACAAUUCAAGUGAAUUAAUACCAAAUGUAAAAAGGGACUUCCAGUUCUAUUAUCACGUACAAAUUCUGCCGAGGACGUAGGGCCCGAUCGAACAUAAAUAUAAAAUGUGCACUGCCGAGGGUCAAACGACACGAAUCAUAGAUGCAUCUAUUAACCUGCCAAGGCGAACAACCUGUUCCCAUAAGAUUAGUGGAAAGAGUCACCCCGCUCGCGGAAUAUACUUGUGACACAGUUAAAUAUAGAUUUAUCAAUAAAUCAUACCCUUUCUUGAUUCUUUUCAAAAAAAAAAAUUAAACUUGAAGCUUUUUAAUUCUAAAAAAUCCUCAACUUAGUUCCAUUCGAUACAAUUAACAAAUAUAAUCAAAUAACGGUGUCCACAAAGCAUGGUGUAAACCUAAAACUAUCCGGACAUAAACAAAAAUAGCAGCUACGUACGGACUCCCGUCACUUCGUUCAUAUGUAUCCCCCACAAAUAAUAAUACAUAUUAAUUAAUUUCACCUAUGGGGUAGAUUCCCUCUUACAAGGCUAGAAAAGAGACUUACCUCGUCUCGAGGCCUACUUUCCGGUCCAAAAUUAUGCUCAAACCCUUAAAUCAGUGUCGAACAAUCCAAAACUAUCCAAAUAGUGUAAAAACUAAUCAAUAUACGUUCAAAAUUUCAUAUUUUAACUAUUUAAGUGAUUACCCAACCCUAAAUAUAAGGUUCCUAAAAUUCACCCCCAGGCCCACGUGCUCGGAUUCUAGAAAUUUUCGAAGAAAGUUGUUGCCCAUAACCUUAGAAACAUAAAUAGAUGACUUUCACCAAGUUCCAUAAUCAUUUCCAUGGUAAAAUCUCAUUUUUAUCAAAAAUCUAGAUUUUCAUCUAAACCCAUGAUUUUUACUAAUUUAUAUGUUAUAAUCUACCCAUAAACCAUGUAUUAAACUCACAUUAGCUAGAAAUUACUUACCUUCAAAAGCUAGGUGAAAACCCCUCUCAAGAAGCUCCAAAAAUCGCCCAAAGAGUGAAAAAAAUGUGUAAAAAUGGCUUAAGUACCAUAUUAAAUGAACCUUACUACCUCCAGCGAUUUCGCACCUGCGGUCCUGCACCUGCGGAAAAGCCAUCGUAGGUGUGUAUUUUCCCCUACUGGCCAAGCUCCUCAUCUGCGGGCUCAAGGGACCACAUUUGCGCAUAAAGCCCACACCUGCGACCACUGAUCUCGCACCUGCGGUCGAGAUACAUGAAAGUUCGACCUUUAGUAAGCAACUAUAAAUUCCUUAGGUACAUGAAAGUUCAAUGAUUGUUCAUUAUUUUAACGUAGCAACAACAACAACAACAAACUCAGUAGUUUUUCACAAGUGAGGUCUGGGGAAGGUAAGAUGUACGCAGCCUUACCCCUACUCCUAGAAGGGAAGAGAGUUAUUACUAUUAUUUUACUUAAAACAAAUAGUUAUACUACAUUAAUAUAAGUUGCAAUUUACCACUCGGCCUUUGAAUUCUGUAAAUUUGGCGACCCUCCUUGUUGCUGCAUUGGUGAGAAAUUGUAUCCUUGCUUCUUGUUAAACCGGGGAGAUAAGUUUAGAUCAUGCCAGACUCUUUCUUAAGAAACUUGUUUGGAUAAAACAACUUUGAAAACACCACUAGAUGGUUGAGUGUUAGCCUUAUUUUGUGGAACAUCAGUCCUAUUGACGUCUUCGGACUUUACAAACAUUUCCAGCAUGCUUAACACAAGAACAUCCAUGUGUUCAUCUGGAGUCCUCAAAAAAUCAUGUUGAUUUUCAUCGUCAUCGAUGUUAAACUUGCAUAAUAAGCCACUCCUUGGGGAGUAAGCGAAUACAGAUAUCUUUCGGCUACCUUAAGAUUAACCGAGCGUUUAUUCACACUCACCCUAUUACAAAUCAGAUAUACCAACAUGUGGUACUCGAAUAUGAGUGGCAACUUAAUAAUACGCUAUGGAGAACAACUAUAGUAUACCGAGUUAUUCUCCAUCACAUCCUCACCGCCUUAAUAUAACACAACCCUAAUUUUUCACUCAUCAGAUAUCGUAGAAAAUUUCUAAAAGAGCUUUGUAUAUAUUGAUGAAGAUGAAGGGAUGUAUAAAGGAUGCUCAAGAACAAAAGCAAAUUGGUUCGAAUUCGCUCGAGAAUGAUUUUUUCAAGAAUGAACAUUCGACCUUAAGUAAGCAACUAUAAAUUCCUAAGGUACAUGAAAGUUCAAUUAUUAUCCAUUAUUUUAAAGCAGCAACAACAACAACAACAAACUCAGUAGUUUUUCACAAGUGGGGGUCUGGGGAAGGUAUGAUGUACACAGCCAUACCCCUAACCCUAGAAAGGAAGAGAGGUUGUUUCCGAUAGACCCUCGGCUAGAGGACGACUGAAAAAUAAAAGGUAAUUUUAACAAGUAGGAAUAACAGCAAAAUAAAAUAAGAUUGAAUCCAAUAAUGCAGUCAAACUCUAGGCAGUGAUAGCCAUAUAUGGAUAAAAGAUAUCACAGUAACACUAAUGCUAGCAAAUUGAGUAAGACAACGAGAAACGCUCGGCUACCUACUAACCUUCUACCCUAAUCUUUGACCUCCACAUCUUCCUGUCUAGGGCCAUGUCCUCAGUUAGCUCCAGCUGUGCCAUGUCCCGCCUAAUAACCCCUCCUCAAGACUUCUUAGGUCUACCUCUAUCCCUCCUGCUAUCCACCGAGCUAACCGUUUGCACCUUUUAACUGGUGCUUCUAUACUUCUUCUCUUAACAUGCGCCGAACCAUCUCAACCUCGCCUCCCGCAUCUUAUCCUCUACAGGGGUCACUCUCACCUUUCUCGAAUAACUUCAUUCCUAAUCUUAUACCAGGUAUGCCCACACAUCAACAUCAACAUCCUCAUCUCAACUAUUUUUAGCUUCUGGGUAUGAGAGUUCUUGACCGGUCAAUACUCUGCUCCUUACAACAUAGUCGGUCUAACUACAACCAUGUAGAACUUACCUUUAAGUCUCAGCGGCACAUUUUUAUCACACAUGACACCGGAAGCGAGCCUCCACUUCAUCCAUCCUGCUCCGAUAUGAUGCGUGACAUCUUCAUCAAUCUCCUCGUUACCUUGUAUUAUAGAUCCAAAAUACUUGAAACUACCUCUCUUGGGUAUGACUUGCGUAUCAAGCCUCACCUCCAUAUCCCCUUCCUGGGUACCGUUGCUAAACUUGCACUCCAAGUAUUCCGUCUUGGUCUUGCUCAACUUGAAACCCUUAGACUCUAGGGUCUGCCUCCAAACCUCCAGCUUCUCGUUAACACCAUCCUCGCAUCUCUUCAAUUAAAACUAUGUCAUCAGCCUCCUCCCGCUGCCCUGUCCCGAGUCUUAGCUUUAUUAUACAUGUCCUUAAUCACCCUAAUGUAGGUUACUAGGACCCCUUUAGCCUCCAAGCAUCGCCAGAGCACCUCUCUCGGGACUUUGUCAUAUGCUUUCUUUAGGUCAAUAAAUACCAUGCACAAGUCCUUCCUCAUCUCCCUAUACCGCUCCACCAAUCUCUUCACAAUAUGAAUAGCUUCCAUAGUCGAACGCCCCGACAUGAAACCGAACUGGUCAUCAGAAAUGGACACAUUAAUCCUCACCCUGACUUGAACCACCCGGUUAGAACAACUGUUAAAAGAUGAUUAAAAAAAACUACUUGAUAACUUUCUCCUUAACUCAAACCGAAAUAUUUUCAUUUGAUUUGCAAACAGUCUCAGCAUAAGUUAUCCACUCGCUGAUUUCACAUUUCCAAAAUAAGUAAAGAAAGAUACAUGUCUUUGCUUGGUUAAAAAUUUGGAAUAUCUUUAACCAAUCAAUUAAUUCAGUAUCGUUCACACGGAAAUAAGACAAUUUAGAUUGGUUAAAGAUUGUUUAUUUUUAAUUUUUUUAUUUUAUAGUUUUUUCAAUUCUUCUUUGUAAUUCAUGUGUAACCCUAAAAACAAGUUGGAGGGACCAGAAAACAAAUAGCCAUUGUUAGACUAGCCGUAAUCCUAAAUUAGUUCAUCCUCUUCCUCGUACAUCCUCUAUUUUAUCAUCUCCAAGUGUCUUGUCUUCCUCUAAGAACACCUUGACUCCCUCAUGUAUUCUUGUCCCCCAACCCGACAUACCGUCGACCCUCCCCACCCUUUCCAACAAUACUCCAUUUUUUUUAUAGCUAUUUUAACCCUCUAUUCUUAAUGUAUUGGACCAACUAUUUUUUAUUCAGGUAAACCCAUUAUGAAUAGUAAAAUAAUUUCUGUCGAGAAGCUUUUCGUAUUUAUUAUACAAAUCAAAAAUGUUCCUCGAAAGAUGGAGGGAUCCCAAGCAUCUCACCAUAUUUUAGCAGGCGUUUGGACAUGAAUUCCAAAUUAUUAUUUUUUCAAAUUUGAAAUUUCACUAAAAUUUGAAUUGAAGAUAAAGUUGUGUUUGCUUAUAGUUUUUGCAACAUAUUUAUAUAUCUUUUUUAAAACAUAUUUUACAACAAAAAACUAGCAACCUUCUCAUUUUCAAGUGAGAUUGGAAAAAUUGUAAGAUUUUGAUAACCAAAUACUUAUUUCAAAAAAAAAACAAAUUGAAAAAAAAAAUCUUAUUUCAAAACGGGCUCUGAGAAUGCAAUCCAACAAAAACUAUUACUCCAUUCGUUUUAAUUUAUGUAAACUUGUUUGACUGAGUAUGAAAUUUAAAAAAUAUUAUUGAAAUGUGUCCGUUUUUUUUUGAAAUAAAUUCAAAAAAAUAACUACAUAAAAGACAAGUCUAUUAUUUAUCAUUCUCUAAAAAAAUUUGUAAUAAAAAAAUACUUCAUCCAUCCAUGUCCUUGCACCUCAUUCAUUCACCACAUCAUCUUUAUAAAUUUCAGACCACACCCCCGUCUUCCUACCCUUCAAUACCAAUACCGUGCUCCACCAAAAACCCCUUAUUUUUCUCUCCUCCACAUAUUAUCGUCACAUCACAAUCAAUUAAACUUCAACCUUUGCUCUAAACCAGAUUAGUAUAUUCUUGGAAGAAAGAUAUUAGAAGAAGAAGCAAAAGAGUAGGAGAAGGAGAAGCUUAUGCUCACAUACAUUUAACUAACUAAAACUUCAUUAAUUCUCAUAUUUAUAUUUUGCCUACUCAGGUAGUUUUAAAACUUCUGCCUUCAAUUUCGGAGAGGUUACCAUUAUUUCCACAGCUUAUAUUUCCCCUCCCACCCCACCGCCAACCCCAACCCCACCAAAAUCUCUGAUGCCUCUCUCCUCUCACCAAGGCCGACGACUGCCAUUUCCUCCACCACCCACCAAAAUCUCUGGUGGGAUUCUUUGAUUUUUGAAUAGUUUUGGGGAGAAAAAUCUUAUUUUUCGGAUUAUGACAAAACAGAUAGUCCUCCGUGCACCUUCAUCACUUUCGGUGGACAGGCGGCGGCAGCCACUGUUAUCAGGCCAAGAUUCAUCGUCACGAGGUGGGGUUCGGAAGGCGGCGCGGUUCGCGGAGGUCGCCGGCGGAACGACGGCUGAAUGUGCAGCGGUUUGUUGCUGCUGCCCUUGCGGGCUGGUGAAUCUCCUCGUGCUAGCUGUGUAUAAGUUGCCGGCGGGACUUUGCCGGAAGGCACUGAGGAAGAAACGCCGACGUCGGCUGAUGAAGAAAGGGCUUUUGGUCCGCUCUGAAGACGCGGAGCUUUCAAUACACCCCAUCGGCACCACCCCGCUCGCGGUGGGUGAUGGCGGAAACAGCCUGGAAUCCGAUAAGGAUGUGGUGGCGCUGGAGAAGGAAAUGUGGAACAAGUUUUAUGGUGCUGGGUUUUGGAGAAGUCCCUCUCAACGGAGUGACAACAUGGAAACAAUGGUAAAUAAAAUGUAAAAACAAAUUAAAAAAGGAAGACCAAAAAAAAAGAUAAUGAAAUUCAAUGAAUAUUCGGCCUAUUUUCUGCUGGUGAAUCUUUUAGUUUUCUUGAAGAUGCUAUUUUACAGUGUUGGAUGGAUUACUUUAUAAAAUUAAGCCAGUGAAACGGAAAUGUUCUUCUUGCUUCUCUUUUGUCCUGAUUUAAUUUCCUUAUCUGAGUCUGUGCUGAAUAUGGAACAACAGGUUUCAUUAAUUCGGAGUUUGUUUUGUUCGUAAGGUAAAUGGUAUGUGGAAAGUUUAAUGGUUAAUGUCCUAUUUUAGAACUUUUAUAUGUAACGUUAUUUGCAGUUGUGAUUACUCAGCUUGUUUUUCUAGUUUCCUAUUUGAAGGAGCAUUAGCUUAACGGAUAAAGUUGUUCACAUGUGAUUGGGAGGUCACGAGUUUAAGUUGUGGGAACAGCCUCUUACAGAAAUACAAGGUAAGACUGCGUACAAUAGACCUUAUGGUCCGGCCCUUCCCCGAACCUCGCGCAUAGCGGGAGCUUAGUGCAUUUGGCUUUUUUUUUUUUUUUUUUUUUUUUUUUUUUUUUUUUUUUAAAGAGGUCUCAUGAUAAGGUUCUUUAUCCGAUCCUCAACGUAAUAUUAAAAGGGAGAUAUCACUGGGAAGAAUGUGUAUGGGGAGAGAAAAUAUAUGUACUAACUAGUAGUCCAUUUUGAUCGUUAUGCUGUUUUCCCCCCCUUCUUUUUUGCACAGGUUGUGGUAAUGGGAAAUGAAAAUUUGUAUGCUUGAUAAGCUUCUUCUGUUACGAGCUUCAGAAUUUACUCACGAGAAUACUUGCGCUGAAAAAUCUGUA
rnacentral:lncRNA from 1 species